rnacentral:rRNA from 1 species
GGACCUUCGGGUGCCGGCGAGUGGCGAACGGGUGAGUAAUGUAUCGGAACGUACCCUAGAGUGGGGGAUAACUCUCCGAAAGGAGGGCUAAUACCGCAUAUUCUAUGCGUAGGAAAGCAGGGGACCUUCGGGCCUUGUGCUCUAGGAGCGGCCGAUAUCAGAUUAGGUAGUUGGUGGGGUAAAGGCCUACCAAGCCGACGAUCUGUAGCGGGUCUGAGAGGAUGAUCCGCCACACUGGAACUGAGACACGGUCCAGACUCCUACGGGAGGCAGCAGUGGGGAAUUUUGGACAAUGGGCGCAAGCCUGAUCCAGCCAUGCCGCGUGAGUGAAGAAGGCCUUCGGGUUGUAAAGCUCUUUCGGCCGGGAAGAAAUCGCAUAGGCUAAUACCUUGUGUGGAUGACGGUACCGGAAUAAGAAGCACCGGCUAACUACGUGCCAGCAGCCGCGGUAGUACGUAGGGUGCGAGCGUUAAUCGGAAUUACUGGGCGUAAAGCGUGCGCAGGCGGUUUUUUAAGAUAGGCGUGAAAUCCCCGGGCUCAACCUGGGAACUGCGCUUAUGACUGGAAGACUCGAGUAUGGCAGAGGGGGGUGGAAUUCCACGUGUAGCAGUGAAAUGCGUAGAGAUGUGGAGGAACACCGAUGGCGAAGGCAGCCCCCUGGGCCAAUACUGACGCUCAUGCACGAAAGCGUGGGGAGCAAACAGGAUUAG